rnacentral:rRNA from 1 species
CAGCUAGUUGGCAGGGUAAAAGCCUACCAAGGCAGAGAUCGGUAGCCGGCCUGAGAGGGCACACGGCCACACUGGCACUGAAACACGGGCCAGACUCCUACGGGAGGCAGCAGUGGGGAAUCUUGCACAAUGGGGGAAACCCUGAUGCAGCGACGCCGCGUGAGCGAUGAAGCCCUUCGGGGUGUAAAGCUCUUUCGGCAGGGAAGAUAAUGACGGUACCUGCAGAAGCAGCUGCGGCUAACUACGUGCCAGCAGCCGCGGUAAUACGUAGGCAGCAAGCGUUGUUCGGAGUUACUGGGCGUAAAGGGUGUGUAGGCGGUUGUUUAAGUUUGGUGUGAAAUCUCCCGGCUUAACCGGGAGGGUGCGCCGAAUACUGAAUGACUUGGAGUGCGGGAGAGGAAAGUGGAAUUCCUGGUGUAGCGGUGAAAUGCGUAGAUAUCAGGAGGAACACCGGUGGUGUAGACGGCUUUCUGGACCGUAACUGACGCUGAGACACGAAAGCGUGGGUAGCAAACAGGAUUAGAUACCC